rfam:Sclerotinia sclerotiorum 1980 scaffold_12 genomic scaffold, whole genome shotgun sequence.
ACAUACGACCAUAGACUGAGGAGAAUUGGGCAUCCCGUCCGCUCUGCCAUACACAAGCCGCAGAUCGGUAGAUUAGUAGUUGGGUGGGUGACCACCAGCGAAUCCCUACUGUUGUAUGUU